rnacentral:lncRNA from 1 species
AGAAUGCUGCUGUCUCGUGUACUUACUGUUAAGCAUCCUGGAAAAGGGAGUGGUUCCUCCUAGCUGCAAACAAGGGCGCUACUUUUCUUUUCUCUUUAAUAGAAUUACGUUUUAUAGGUGUGUCUAGGCAACACAAGGGAAUGUGAAAGACUUUCAGAGGGAAUGUUUGUGAAUACAUCUGGUGUGUACUAAAAAGCUGGAAAACCCCUAAGUAAAUGCAAUAUCGAUAGAAAGCGAGUUUCUUGAAGAGUCAUCUGCUAAACUCCACUACAGUCAUCUCUACAGAUGCAACUGACUCACUUAAAAUAGCUGUGUGGAUAUAGAACUUUUAUCAACUACUAUUUACUAAAUUAUAUUGGUGUGUUUGUCCUCAUCUUAGAAUAGCAUAUCAAUAGAUGCUAUAAAAACAUAAGAGGGUGUGGUUAAGAGAAAAAAAAAUUGCCAUUAAGGAAUCAGCAAAUAGGAUGUCUGAAGUGAGGAUAUAGCACCUAUCUCUGAGAUUAAAGUCAUCUGAUCAAAAAUGAUGCCUCUGAGACUAUAACAAAGGAAUGAAUAAUGAAAUAUAAGAAUGGGGAUUCU